rnacentral:rRNA from 1 species
AGGCCAAUCAAACUUCGUGAUAGCUGGUUCUCUCCGAAAUAUAUUUAGGUAUAGCCUUGUGUUGUAGCAUAUAGGGGUAGAGCACUGAAUGGGCUAGGGCUGCUUACCGCGGUACCAAACCCUAUCAAACUAUGAAUACUAUAUGUGGAAUCACAGGAGUCAGGCGAUGGGUGAUAAAAUCCACCGUCGAGAGGGGAACAACCCAGACUAACAGCUAAGGUCCCUAAGUCACAUCUAAGUGGAAAACGAUGUGGAGUUACUGUGACAACCAGGAGGUUGGCUUAGAAGCAGCCAUCCUUUAAAGAAAGCGUAACAGCUCACUGGUCUAGUGAUUCUGCGCGGAAAAUAUAACGGGGCUAAGAUGUGCACCGAAGCUUUAGAUUCGAAUUUAUUCGAGUGGUAGGAGAGCGUUCUAUUCAGCGUUGAAGAUGUACCGGCAAGGAGCGUUGGAGCGGAUAGAAGUGAGCAUGCAGGCAUGAGUAGCGAUAAUUGAGGUGAGAAUCCUCAACGCCGAAAACCCAAGGUUUCCUACGCGAUGCUCGUCAUCGUAGGGUUAGUCGGGUCCUAAGUCGAGUCCGAAAGGGGUAGACGAUGGCAAAUUGAUUAAUAUUUCAAUACCAACAUACAAGCGCGAUGUGGGGACGCAUAGAGUUAAUCGAGCUCACUGAUGGAAUAGUGGGUCGAAGGACGUAGGCUGUAACUUAGGCAAAUCCGGGUUGCAAUAGGCCGAGAUCUUACAGGCUCUUGACACUCUUCGGAGGAGAUGGAGAAUCGAUGAUACUGUCGUGCCAAGAAAAGCCACUAAGUUUAUUAUAUGUUGCCCGUACCGUAAACCGACACAGGUGGGUGGGAUGAGUAUUCUAAGGCGCGUGGAAGAACCCUGGUUAAGGAACUCUGCAAACUAGCACCGUAUCUUCGGUAUAAGGUGUGCCUACUUUGGUAUAUGGACUUGCUCCAAAAAGCUAGAGAGGUUGCAACAAAGAGUCCCUCCCGACUGUUUACCAAAAACACAGCACUUUGCUAACACGUAAGUGGAUGUAUAAGGUGUGACGCCUGCCCGGUGCUCGAAGGUUAAUUGAUGAUGUCAGCGCAAGCGAAGCAUUUGAUCGAAGCCCGAGUAAACGGCGGCCGUAACUAUAACGGUCCUAAGGUAGCGAAAUUCCUUGUCGGUUAAAUACCGACCUGCAUGAAUGGCGUAACGAGAUGGGAGCUGUCUCAACCAGGGAUCCAGUGAAAUUGUAGUGGAGGUGAAAAUUCCUCCUACCCGCGGAAAGACGGAAAGACCCCGUGCACCUUUACUACAGCUUGACACUGUAGCUUGGAUAUUCAUGUGCAGGAUAGGUGGGAGGCUAUGAUGACUAGACGCAAGUAGAGUCGGAGCCAUCCUUGAGAUACCACCCUUGAAUAUUUGAGUUACUAACUGCGUACAAUUAUCUUGUAUCAGGACAAUGUCUGGUGGGUAGUUUGACUGGGGCGGUCGCCUCCUAAAAAGUAACGGAGGCUUACAAAGGUUAGUUCAAAGCGGUUGGAAAUCGCUUGUUGAGUAUAAUGGCAUAAACUAGCUUGACUGUGAGACAUACAAGUCGAACAGAGACGAAAGUCGGUCAUAGUGAUCCGGUGGUUCUGUGUGGAAGGGCCAUCGCUCAAAGGAUAAAAGGUACGCCGGGGAUAACAGGCUGAUCUCCCCCAAGAGCUCACAUCGACGGGGAGGUUUGGCACCUCGAUGUCGGCUCAUCGCAUCCUGGGGCUG